UUUUCUUUACGAAUUCGCCUAAAGAAACGUGUGAUAAUUUUAAGUUGCUAAAAAGGAAGACAGAUAACUAAUGUAAAGCUACAUAUAAAUAAUGUACCCUUACGAAAAUUAACCAUGGUUUUAUUGUGGUAAAAGUGUAGUAACCAUGUGUAGCAGGAUUAGGUGAGCUGUGAUUGACAGCUACUGUCACCUAUCAGGAAGGGGCAGUCCCUUUUUAAGCACUGAUUGGCUGCUGCUCGGAAUGCGUCAUGUCCUGUGUUUCCCCCGGGUGUUUGUAGCAAUAGCGACAGCGUGCUUGUCCAGCGUACUGGUGCCCUUGUGCUGUUGGUGGCUUAAAUGACUGUGCACCCUCAGUUGGCUGUGGUUGACCUGUUGUAGGUUAAACAGUGCUGUAAAAGACGUUAAUGUGUCUGGGGUGAUGCCACUGUGCGGGUUCUCCCUUUUGUUCUACGUGGUUUCCUCUGGUUGCUGCCUGUUUGAGUCUCGUGCUGUUUUAUCGCACCGCUGUAACAUUACAUUAUUGUCACCGAUGUAAACCGGACUGUCCACUGUCUGGUUUCUGACUUGAGUGUGUAUUAUCUUGAAGUGGAGGAUUAGCGCAUUGGAGCCGGCGUAUGGACUUUGGUGUUUGCGCCAUGACUUUCGUGUAGCUUCAGCUGCCAGUUUUCUUUGUUUGUUUUUGUUUCUAUUGUAGAAUUUGUAUAUUAUUGUUUUGAAUAUUUAUUUUGCUUAAUAUCCUUUCAGGAGCUGGGGUCCCCACGGGUGAGGGAUCUUGUUGUGGUGGUGGUACCGCUCAACGGUUCCCGUGUUACACAUUUGAAGUGUAUAAGUGUGUGUACAUUGAGUUCACGGUGUGUUGUGCGAAAGUGUGCUUUUGGACAACUUGUGCCAGUGAUCCCUCGAGUGGGUAACCUCAGCUCUGUAGGUUUGUGUAUUGUUGUAAUUAGUUUAUUAUUUGUCUUCCUUUCCACGCACUGCAUUGUAGCAGUGAGGACCAUUAAGCCUUCAAUUGUUUUGUAUUUUUGUGUAACUUUGUGAUUGUGAUGUU